rnacentral:rRNA from 13 species
GGGGAACUGAAACAUCUAAGUACCCUGAGGAAAAGAAAUCAACCGAGAUUCUCUUAGUAGCGGCGAGCGAACGGGGAUCAGCCUGCAAGUGAUAGCUUGUGUGUUAGUGGAACGGUCUGGAAAGUCCGGCGAUACAGGGUGAUAGCCCCGUACACGAAAACGCACUUGUGGUACUAAGCUUGCGAUAAGUAGGUCGGGACACG